rnacentral:rRNA from 1 species
UACGUAGGCAGCGAGCGUUGUUCGGAGUUACUGGGCGUAAAGAGUGCGUAGGCGGUUUUCUAAGUUUGGUGUGAAAUCUCCCGGCUUAACUGGGAGGGUGCGCCGAAAACUGGAAGGCUUGAGUAUGGGAGAGGUAAGCGGAAUUCCUGGUGUAGCGGUGAAAUGCGUAGAUAUCAGGAGGAACACCUGCGGUGUAGACGGCUUACUGGACCAUAACUGACACUGAGGGACGAAAGCUAGGGGAGCGAAAGGG